GUGCCAGCCGCCGCGGUAAGACGAAGGUGGCGAGCGUUGUUCGGAAUCACUGGGCAUAAAGCGCACGUAGGCGGCGGCGUAAGUUGGGUGUGAAAUCCCUCGGCCUAACCGAGGAACUGCGCCCAGUACUGCGUUGCUUGAGGAUCCAAGGGGUGCAUGGAAUUCCCGGUGGAGCGGUGAAAUGCGUUGAUAUCGGGAGGAACUCCGGCGGCGAAAGCGGUGCACUGGUGGAUUUCUGACGCUGAGGUGCGAAAGCCAGGGGAGCAAACGGGAUUAGAUACCCUCGUAGUCC
rnacentral:rRNA from 1 species